rnacentral:rRNA from 1 species
AUUGAACGCUGGCGGAAUGCUUUACACAUGCAAGUCGAGCGGCAGCGCGGGGGCAACCCUGGCGGCGAGCGGCGAACGGGUGAGUAACAUAUCGGAACGUACCCCGUCGUGGGGGAUAACACAGCGAAAGCUGUGCUAAUACCGCAUACGACCUGAGGGUGAAAGCGGGGGAUCGCAAGACCUCGCGCGAUGGGAGCGGCCGAUAUCGGAUUAGCUUGUUGGUGAGGUAAAGGCUCACCAAGGCGACGAUCCGUAGCUGGUCUGAGAGGACGACCCAGCCACACUGGAACUGAGACACGGUCCAGACUCCUACGGGAGGCAGCAGUGGGGAAUUUUGGGACAAUGGGGGCAACCCUGAUCCAGCCAUUCCGCGUGAGUGAAGAAGGCCU